rnacentral:rRNA from 1 species
GACGAACGCUGGCGGCGUGGAUUAGGCAUGCAAGUCGAACGACGGACAAUCUUCGGAUUGUUACGGAGUGGCGAACGGGUGAGUAACACGUGAAUAACCUGUCCUUACGUUCCGGAUAAUUCACCGAAAGGUGUUGUAAUACGGGGGAGGGCCCUUGAGGAGCAUUCUUUAAGGGAGGAAGACGCAAGUCGCGCGAGGAGGGAUUCGCGGCCUAUCAGGUAGUUGGUGAGGUAAUGGCUCACCAAGCCGACGACGGGUAGCUGGUCUGAGAGGAUGGUCAGCCACAUUGGAACUGAGAUACUGUCCAGACUCCUACGGGAGGCUGCAGUCGAGAAUCUUGGGCAAUGCACGAAAGUGUGACCCAGCGACGCCGCGUGGAGACGAAGGCCCUUUGGGUUGUAACUCUUUAAGGGGAAAGAAAAAUGACGGUACCCUCUGAAUAAGCCACGGCUAACUACGUGCCAGCAGCCGCCGU